rnacentral:rRNA from 1 species
GGGGGAGUUGCUCUAUGUUGAUACUGCUGUCAGGAUGACCCUGGCGGAGAAGCUCAUUUCACUGCGAAGUUUUACUCUUUUUGUGUGUAUAACUAGUCAAAAAUGUUCCUGGGGAAGGCAGAAUCAUACGCACGACUAUCAGUUCUGCAGUACAGUAUUGGACUACCAAGACAGGGUCGGUGGACGCCAAAUUAAGAUUUUGUACCGGAGAGGGAGAUGAUAGAUUGCUCCCACUGAGGAGACGGAAGAAUGCGCCCUUUUGCCCACUCUUUGCCGUAGGCUUGUAUGACACUAGAACAUGACUUUCUUGUAUAGAGGGAUAGGAUAGUUGGAUCUUGAUUUUGAUGCCACCCCCCGCGCAAAUACCGACUCCAAGAUUGUGUAUUAGAGAUGCUGCAUAUAAAAAUUCCGUGGUCAUAGAAGGGCUAAGAGAGAUGCUAGCUCUCACUGUGCGAUGAUGGAGGAGCCGAUGGGGGCAUAGAAUACCAGGGGGGGGGGUGGGGUGCCGUUACCCCUGGUGGACUGAACAAGGCGAAGGCGAUGUUCUUGUAAGCAUGCAGCGAUCAAGGACGAGAGCUGUAAGACUGAAGGAUAGGCCACCGUUCGUAUUACUUUGAGAAAGAUGCGACUUCUCUCUGCCCACGUUGGUCUGGGGGAACC